UACGGAGGGUGCGAGCGUUGUCCGGAAUCAUUGGGCGUAAAGGGCGCGUAGGUGGCCCGGUCAGUUCGUGGUGAAAGCGCGGGGCUCAACCCUGCGUCGGCCAUGAAUACUGCCGCGGCUGGAGCACUGUAGAGGCAGGCGGAAUUCCGGGUGUAGCGGUGGAAUGCGCAGAUAUCGGGAGGAACACCGGUGGCGAAGGCGGUUCUCUGGGCCUGUACUGACGCUGAGGAGCGAAAGCGUGGGGAGCGAACAGG
rnacentral:rRNA from 1 species